UACGGAGGAUCCAAGCGUUAUCCGGAAUCAUUGGGUUUAAAGGGUCCGCAGGUGGAUAAUUAAGUCAGAGGUGAAAGUUUGCCGCUUAACGGUAAAAUUGCCUUUGAUACUGGUUGUCUUGAGUCAUUAUGAAGUGGUUAGAAUAUGUAGUGUAGCGGUGAAAUGCAUAGAUAUUACAUAGAAUACCGAUUGCGAAGGCAGAUCACUAAUAAUGUACUGACACUGAGGGACGAAAGCGUGGGUAGCGAACAGG
rnacentral:rRNA from 1 species